rnacentral:lncRNA from 1 species
AACAUACCAUACCACCAUUUUUAGAAAAUCAUGGAAACAAACAUGAUUUCCAUGAUAACCAUACCAUACCAUAUCAUACCAUGGGAAACCACCACCCAAACAGGCUGUAACUAGAACAACAAAGAUCAACAAAAGCACCUAAGUUCAGAGUGAAAUCAUUUCUAUGUCAAAAAAUAUCAUUGGCAUCAUGUUCAAAUAAAUGAAAACUUCUUCAACUUGGGUGGUGUGGAUCUAAGAAGAGGUAGUGGUAUGUGAUGGACAUGAUCACUUCAAAACACACCGAUCUUUAAUUUGGACUCGAUUUCUAUUCUAGUAAUCAGAUCUGGAAUCCUUUGAUUCAUACUUAGUUUACUUCGAUUCGCAACCUUUGUUUUUUUUUCUCAACAGGUUGAACCCAAAUGGAAUUGAUACCACUGUUAGAGACAAUAAAUUUCAGGUUAUGUCCUAAAGUCGACUUAGAAGGUAAUGCUCAAUGUUGUGACCUUUAAUUUGCUUUUGUAAUCCUACUGCAGUUGUAUUCCUUGUUCUGUGUAGUUGUUAUCUUAGCUUAAACUCUCCCAUGUAGCUUGUACUCCUUGUUUUGAGUUCUUAUUAUUCGUAAAUUUGGAGUCUUUGCUUUUCUAGUUGAAUAAUUGUUUUAGCUUCUCGUGGAAUCACUUGUAAGUUAUAAAAUUGAU